rnacentral:misc_RNA from 1 species
AACGCACCUUGCGCCUUUUGGUAUUCUGAAAGGCAUGCCUGUUUGAGUGUCAUGAAAUCUCAAUCCCCCUCAGGUUUAUGAUCUGGGUGGGACUUGGACUUGGGCGUCUGCCGGUCAAACGGCUCGCCUCAAAUGACUUAGUGGAUCUCUCUGCAUCUGUGACAGACGUAAUAAGUUUCGUCUCGUCCCUUGCUGCCCGAGUCCGCUCACAACCCGCCAUUGUGCACUUUUAGACUCUGACCUCAAAUCAGGUAGGACUACCCGCUGAACUUAA